UUUUUUUUUUUAAGAAAACAUUACACGUGUAUAUAUAGCUACAAAAACUGAUAAAUGUGGAACAUACUUCUUUAGAAAAGAGGAAAGAGUCCCUAUAAAUAGAUGAUGGUUGAGCGGGGAAAAAAAUUACAACUACGUAGAAUAUUUGUUGACGCUGCUAAUUCCUGCAUUUUCCACUUUUUCUUCAUUGCCUUCUAUGCUGAGGUGCGGACCGCGAUCGUAAGGAUCC